rnacentral:rRNA from 1 species
AUACAUGCAAGUCGAGCGAACAGAAGGGAGCUUGCUCCCGGAUGUUAGCGGCGGACGGGUGAGUAACACGUGGGUAACCUGCCUGUAAGACUGGGAUAACUCCGGGAAACCGGAGCUAAUACCGGAUAGUUCCUUGAACCGCAUGGUUCAAGGAUGAAAGACGGUUUCGGCUGUCACUUACAGAUGGACCCGCGGCGCAUUAGCUAGUUGGUGGGGUAAUGGCUCACCAAGGCGACGAUGCGUAGCCGACCUGAGAGGGUGAUCGGCCACACUGGGACUGAGACACGGCCCAGACUCCUACGGGAGGCAGCAGUAGGGAAUCUUCCGCAAUGGACGAAAGUCUGACGGAGCAACGCCGCGUGAGUGAUGAAGGUUUUCGGAUCGUAAAGCUCUGUUGUUAGGGAAGAACAAGUGCGAGAGUAACUGCUCGCACCUUGACGGUACCUAACCAGAAAGCCACGGCUAACUACGUGCCAGCAGCCGCGGUAAUACGUAGGUGGCAAGCGUUGUCCGGAAUUAUUGGGCGUAAAGGGCUCGCAGGCGGUUUCUUAAGUCUGAUGUGAAAGCCCCCGGCUCAACCGGGGAGGGUCAUUGGAAACUGGGAAACUUGAGUGCAGAAGAGGAGAGUGGAAUUCCACGUGUAGCGGUGAAAUGCGUAGAGAUGUGGAGGAACACCAGUGGCGAAGGCGACUCUCUGGUCUGUAACUGACGCUGAGGAGCGAAAGCGUGGGGAGCGAACAGGAUUAGAUACCCUGGUAG